rnacentral:rRNA from 1 species
AUGAACGCUGGCGGCGUGCCUAACACAUGCAAGUCGAACGAAGCACUGAGAGUUUGAGAUUUCGGUCAAGAACUUUCUUUGACUUAGUGGCGGACGGGUGAGUAAUGCGUGAGCAACCUGCCUUUCAGAGGGGGACAACAGUUGGAAACGGCUGCUAAUACCGCAUGAUAUAUUCGGAUCGCAUGGUCUGGAUAUCAAAGAUUUAUCGCUGAAAGAUGGCCUCGCGUCUGAUUAGAUAGUUGGUGAGGUAACGGCCCACCAAGUCGACGAUCAGUAGCCGGACUGAGAGGUUGAACGGCCACAUUGGGACUGAGAUACGGCCCAGACUCCUACGGGAGGCAGCAGUGGGGAAUAUUGGGCAAUGGGCGCAAGCCUGACACAGCAACGCCGCGUGAAGGAAGAAGGCUUUCGGGUUGUAAACUUCUUUUGUCAGGGACGAGUAGAAGACGGUACCUGACGAAUAAGCUACGGCUAACUACGUG